AGCUCGAAGGUUCUUGAGAGUCCAAAAUGUCGAAUCGCCCCCGAUCCCGCUCCAUGAAAAAUGGCUUCUUCGAGUAUAGUUGAAGGUUUUGAUUCUUCGUUUUGUUCUUGAUUUUGUUUUUGUUGGUUAUGUUUGAGCUUGAUUACUUAAGCUUGAGUUUGAAGAAACGAACUACGAGUAUAAUAACCAAUGGCUUAGGUUUUUGUUCCAAGUCAUCUUCACGGCCAAGAUCAUGACCGAGAAAUCUAGGUAAAGAUUCAUCAAUGUUGUUGGCGAAGAUAUCCAAGAAUCAUCGAAGAACGAACACGAACAAACCCUGGGAAAACGAUUCAAGGCGAAUAGGAUGUCAUAAGGUCAGUGGAUUUAUGAGCCAACUCAGAGAGAUUGGAGCCAACGGAUCGGCCGCGGAGCAUGCCGGUAUGGCGGUGGUGGCGGCAGCGGAAGGAGCCGAUGUGAGUGGUGGGAGAGCAGAGACAACUGGCCUUGGCGGAGGAGGGUGCCUUGGGUGCCAGUGAUCGGGACGGCGAAGAGGCGAGCAGGGUUUGUGAAUUUGUGGAAGAAGAAGAAGAAGAAGAAGAAAAUAAGAGUCCUGUUCUUGGAGAAAUGCAAGCACAUUUUGACAUUGGGUUAGAAUAGUCGCUACAAAAAUAGUUCGACAUGGAUUCCAAUCAUGUCUCUACCAUCCAUUUCUCCCAGCUCGUGAGUAGCAUCUCGGGUUAGCACAACUACAAGGUGGAGUUGGGAAAGCUUUCCUUGUCCUCACUCCCAUUUGUUUUGGCAAGGAUUUUUCGAAAAUUUUUAUAUGAUAAAUUAGUUAUGU